rnacentral:lncRNA from 1 species
UUGUAUCAUUAUCAAGAAGGUAGAAUAACCGCAAGGCUUGAGAGGAGGGGUGAGAAAAAGUCGUAUAAAAGGCGAGAGAAAUGUCGACAGGUAUCAGUCGAGCGAGUAUCUCCGACACGGUAAUAACUGCUGUGUACUAUUUGCCAUCAGCUGCAUUCUUCAUCGUAUUAUCAGUUCUCAAUCAUGGUCGUACAUAAGGGCAAGGAUAAGUCGACAGGGAUUAGUCGAGUGAGCAUCUCCGACACGGUAACAGCAACUGCAGUGCACCAUGUGUCACCAACUGCAUUCUUCGUCGAAUUGCUAGUUUAAAUCAUGGCAAACUAUGGCCUCAUGCUGCGGUUUUGUGUUGCAGCGUUGAUGGCUGGGUCGGCCACUGGUGUAUCGAUGUUUCCUGGGUAUGGCGGAUAACAAAUUGCAACGCCGCCACCUUACUACACAACAUACGACACGACCAGUUGCUACACCGAGGCCCCCAAUAUUAUUCUUCCCCUAGCUACACUACAAAAGGGUCGAGUACUACGUCGAGGCUCCCAAGUACUACAUCGCCACGGCACCGGAGUACAAAAACGGUCGAACACUACACAGAAGCAAUCAUGGUAACUAUGGCGUUGUGCUACUGUGAGUGUUGUAACGUUGAUGGCUGGAUCAACCACUGGUGUGCCGAUUUCUCCUGGGUAUGGCGGGCAUGAAUAAUCCGUAGCAACCGGUUAUUGCACUGGGCCCCCAAAUACUACACCACCAAGGGUCCGGAGUAUUACACCACAACUUGUACUGCCCCGAUGUUACUACGCAGAAGUUCCGAAGUAUUUUUCUUCCCCGAGUUUCACUACCUUCACCACGCCGAUUACUAAACAACAACGUCAACAACUACUUACCAUACGAAGGUCUCCAGUACUACGCCACAAUGGCUCCUGACUACUACACCGAGUAUCUAACUUAUCACACCACUGAAGCGCCCAAGUACUGCACUACAACCUACGUUGAUCCAGGUUAAACCACGAAGGCAGCGGAGUACUACACC